AAGGCUUUAAGUUAAACAAACUAAUAUCCUUCAAAGUUAUAAAUAAAGAAAUAUCUAUCUUUAAGUCUUA
rnacentral:tRNA from 1 species